CCGAGCAGAUUUGUGUAAAGGAAAAAAAUGCGACCACAAGAGGGAGCACGGGCUCGCCUCCUCUCCCUCAUCGCCGCCGCCGCCACCACCCACGCCGUCCGCUUCCGGCGACCUCCAACGCCGCGCAGCACGCCCCCGAGCUCUCCACGGUCCGCGCCUCCCUCCCCUCCGGCUAUAUUCUCCUCUCCCGUCUUCUACCGCCCGCUCGCCCGUGACUAGGGUUUCGGGCAGGGCUUCGUCGGAGCCACGAGAGCCAUGAGCAUGACGGAGGCUGGGGAAAGAAUGGAAACACUACUGCUCGCAAUGACAGGAUGGUGCUGUGCGUGCGCCGCCCCAAGGCCGCAACUGCUUCCUCCAGUCGUCCCUCCUCCAUGGCUACAUCUUGGUGAGAUCCCUUCCACCCAAGCCUCUCCCCCUUUCUUUUUUAAAACUGAUUCCCAAUUCCUUGAUCAAACCAUGCUCCUCUGCUCCUGUAGGUCUCGCUUAGCUACCAGUACAGUGCAGAUUGCUUUCUUUAUUCAAUUGAUUUUGUUGUCUAUGUAUUACCUGAACUCCAAGGGAACCAACUUACAUGGCGUAAUGGAUGGAGGUGUUAUUGGGGCUUAUUUUUUCAUGAUUGGAAACAAGAUGUUGCUGGUGUUGGAGCUCACAGAGAAUGGUAUUAUGAUAGUCUACUUACUUCUGAAGGUGCAUUAGAAGAUAAGUGGAUGUCCAGAUUCUUUGGCCUCAGAAAAGUGGUGAUAAAAAUCUUGAAGUAUUGUUAGCAUUUUCCUCUAAAAAUGGAAAGAGCAGAUACAAAGAAGGAAUUAUCGAUGACUACUUUGAUGGGUAGUUUUCUGAAGAAAUGAUUGUCCCAGCGUGGAGCUACCCGUCGCCGCUAUGGUACAUGUACCCGUUGCCUCCGCUUGACGUAGUUCGCUAUGGAGAUAUACAUGGGAAAGUCGUGACGGAGAUGCCCCACUUCAACCCGCGGAUCCAGGGUGAUUGUGGCGGUCAGCUGGUGACUGAGCUCAAAAUCCGGUUCAGGUCAAUGGUUGUCUGCGCUCCACUACGAGGAGUGGUGGCGCUUCGAGGAGACAGCUGCGUGCCUUCGUCAGUUGUUUUGUGUACUACUUUUCACUUUCAGAAUCAAUUCGUGAUUCCAUAGUGAGUCAUUACGAACGAAAUUAUGGGGGGUUUUGCUCUAGGCAUCAGAUCAGGAAGCAACAAGCCGUCUCUUUGGUGGUAUCUUUGGUGCUCCAGUAGUGGAUAUUGCUGGAAUAGCUAAAGGACUUAGUUGUAAUACUUGCUCUAAACUUUACUCAACAAGCAAGUUUUCCAAAAAUUGAAGUCGGAUUUUUUUCAGGGUUCCUAUACAUAUACACAAAAUAGUAGGUAAAGAUAUAUUCUAGGACCUAUGGUGCCCAGCAAGCAUAAACAAAUUUAGCUUGCAGUUUUGUUAACGCUUCGCUAUGCUUUGGUACAAUGUUUAGGCGUAGUGCCAGUUUAUUGAUAAAUAACCCUCCGGCAAGGUUCAUAUCUAAGUCUUGGUUGAUCAACUGUUGCACGCCUAACUAAAAUCUUUCCUUCAGGAUGUUUUUUAGGUUUAAAAGACUUUUCAUUAAUCGCAUCAUUGUGCAUACAAAUGACGGACUGAAGUAGGCCAUGGACACUCCCGUCUAAUAUAAAAAAUCCAUGAGAUCUAGCAUAGCUAGCUAGCCCAUGAUCUACUUGGUUACACUCUCGAUGCAUCAGGGAUGUGCAGCACUACUGAAAACGAAUCAUCUGCUCCCUAAUAUCCACAUACCCAACAAACAGUCUUGAUCUGCAGGUCCCAGUGAAUUGUAGCACCUCAAAAACUAUGAGCUGUCGAUUUUCAAGAUUACCGGGCCAGUUACCAUUCAUUUGGAUGAGUGAGAGCAAGAAACAGCCUCAGCUUUUGCUUCCUCGGUGGUGUCCGAGCACUGUCGGAGUUCAGUUCCCAGCGAAAACAACAUCUGUCCUUUGUAUUGGAAUGAUUAUUCCUGUUGCAACGUACUCCUUAGUACUUCCCAUUAUCUAUGGAUAUGUAAUCUUAAUGAAAAUCGCAUGUUUCUGGAUAUCGCCAUGUAUGCAUCGCUUGAUUUUUCCACACACCAAAGUUUCUAUCAAUCAAUGUGUGCGCGGGUGAUUAGAUUAGAACAAAAAUACAGUUUUGAAAUUUGAUAAGGAGUCCUGAUGGACGUGUAUAUAUAUGCAUGUGUUGUUUAUAUUUGAAUCGAGAGAAAGUACAAAAACAAUAUACACUUAUGUGCUUGUCUAGAGGCGUCCUGAUGGAAUCCUCUAAUACCACCAGGCCACAGCAGCGGAGCAGUGUGUGUGUGUGUGUGUGUGUUUUCUCUUUUUUGUAAAACAUCGAGCAGUGCGGUCUUCCCUACAAUCAUGCCUUG